rnacentral:snRNA from 1 species
GGAUGUGAGGGUGACCUGGCUGUGACAUCUGUCACCCCACUGAUCACCAGGGUUGAUUUGGCUGAUCUGGCUGGCUAGGAAGGUAUCCCCUUCCUCCCUCACAGUUCCAUGUGUCCCUCCUGAAGCUGCUUAGUUAGUUGAAGAGGACAACCAACCAUGGGCCGGGGAUUUAGCUCAGUGGUGCUGCCACCUGCCUCACAAGUGCAAGGACCUGAGUUCAAUUCCCAGUACAAAAAAAAGGGACAAUUAUUUCCCCAUAGAGGAGGACUGUUUCCUCCAUCAAGGGUGUAUCAUCAGCAACUCUAUGAUUAAAACAAAACAAAAAUCUUCACAUAGAAAUACAUACUAUGUCAUGUAGGGUUUUUUUGAAAAAACAACAAAUACACUACAUUUUAAUCUCAUUAGAUAUUUAUAAAG